GAACAUAAGAGUUUGAUCCUGGCUCAGGAUGAUCGCUGGCGGCGUGCUUAACACAUGCAAGUCGAACGAAGAUAUUAAGAAUGAGAGCUUCGGCAGGAUUUCUUUCUAUCGUAGUGGCGGACGGGUGAGUAACGUGUGGGCAACCUGCCCUGGACUGGGGAAUAAUCACUGGAAACGGUGACUAAUACCGCAUGUGGUCCUUGGAAGGCAUCUUCUGAGGAAGAAAGGAUUUAUUCGGUACAGGAUGGGCCCGCAUCUGAUU
rnacentral:rRNA from 1 species